rnacentral:rRNA from 1 species
CCUACGGGUGGCAGCAGUAGGGAAUUUUCCGCAAUGGGCGGAACCCUGACCGAGCAACGCCGCGUGAGGGAGGAAGUAUUUCGGUAUGUAAACCUCUGUUAUAAAGGAAGAACGGUGCAUGUAGGAAAUGACAUGCAAGUGACGGUACCUUAUGAGGAAGCCACGGCUAACUACGUGCCAGCAGCCGCGGUAAUACGUAGGUGGCGAGCGUUAUCCGGAAUUAUUGGGCGAAAGGAGGUGGAAGGCGGCAGGUAAGGUCUGGGGUAAAAUCCCGAGGCUAAACUUCGGUACGCCGUGGAAACCGGGAAGCUAGAGUGAGAUAGAGGAUAGUGGAAUUCCAGGUGUAGCGGUGAAAUGCGUAGAUAUAUGGAGGAACACCAGUGGCGAAGGCGACUAUCUGGG